GAGGAUUAAUUUCCUCCGUCUACUAAUCACACAAACUCAUUGUAAUUGAACUGAAUGUAAUUGAUGUAACACAUCAUUUGAACUAAGUUUCAACAACGGAUCUCUUGGCUCUCGCAUCGAUGAAGAACGCAGCGAAAUGCGAUAAGUAAUGUGAAUUGCAGAAUUCAGUGAAUCAUCGAAUCUUUGAACGCAUCUUGCGCUCCUUGGUAUUCCUUGGAGCAUGCCUGUUUGAGUAUCAUGAGCAAAUCUCAAAGUCAAUUCCUUAAUUGGUUUUGCUUUGGACUUGGAGGUCUUGCAGAUUUCACAGUCUGCUCCUCUUAAAUGCAUUAGCUGGAUCUCAGUAAUUAUGCUUGGUUCCACUCGGCGUGAUAAGUAUCACUCGCUGAGGACACUGUUAAAAAGGUGGCCAGGAAAAUACUGAUUGAACCGCUUCUAACGGUCUAUUAAGUUAGACAAUUGACCCUUAAGUUUGAUCUCAAAUCAGG
rnacentral:rRNA from 1 species